rnacentral:rRNA from 1 species
GUGCCAGCAGCCGCGGUAAAACCAGCACCUCAAGUGGUCAGGAUGAUUAUUGGGCCUAAAGCAUCCGUAGCCGGCUCUGUUAGUUUUCGGUUAAAUCUAUAUGCUCAACAUAUAGGCUGUCGGGAAUACUACAAAGCUAGGGAGUGGGAGAGGUAGACGGUACUCCGUAGGAAGGGGUAAAAUCCUUUGAUCUAUGGAUGACCACCAGUGGCGAAGGCGGUCUACCAGAACACGUUCGACGGUGAGGGAUGAAAGCUGGGGGAGCAAACCGGAUUAGAUACCCGGGUAGUCCCAGCUGUAAACUAUGCAAACUCGGUGAUGCAUUGGCUUGUGGCCAGUGCAGUGCCGCAGAGAAGUCGUUAAGUUUGCCGCCUGGGAAGUACGUACGCAAGUAUGAAACUUAAAGGAAUUGGCGGGGGAGCACCACAAGGGGUGAAGCCUGCGGUUCAAUUGGAGUCAACGCCAGAAAUCUUACCCGGAGAGACAGCAGAAUGAAGGUCAAGUUGAAGCCUUUACCAGACAAGCUGAGAAGUGGUGCAUGGCCGUCGCCAGCUCGUGCCGUGAGGUGUCCUGUUAAGUCAGGUAACGAGCGAGAUCCUUGCCUCUAGUUGCCACCAUUACUCUCAGGAGUAGUGGGGCGAAUUAGCGGGACUGCCGUAGUUAAUACGGAGGAAGGAGAGGGCCACGGCAGGUCAGUAUGCCCUGAAACUCUGGGGCCACACGCGGGCUGCAAUGGUAGUGACAAUGUGUUCCGAAUCCGAAAGGAGGAGGUAAGCCUCAAACGCUACCACAGUUAUGACUGAGGGCUGCAACUCGCCCUCACGAAUAUGGAAUCUCUAGUAACUGCGUGUCAUUAUCGCGCGGUGAAUACGUCCCUGCUCCUUGCACACACUGCCCGUC